AACGAACGCUGGCGGCAUGCCUAACACAUGCAAGUCGAACGAGACCUUCGGGUCUAGUGGCGCACGGGUGCGUAACGCGUGGGAACCUGCCCUUAGGUUCGGAAUAACUCCCCGAAAGGGGUGCUAAUACCGGAAAAUGUCUUCGGACCAAAGAUUUAUCGCCUUUGGAUGGGCCCGUGUUGGAUUAGCUAGUUGGUAGGGUAAAAGCCUACCAAGGCGACGAUCCAUAGCUGGUCUGAGAGGAUGAUCCGCUACACUGGGACUGAGACACGGCCCAGACUCCUACGGGGGGCAGCAGUGGGGAAUACUGGACACUGGGCGAUAGCCUGAUCCAGCAAUGCCGCGUGAGUGAUGAAGGCCUUAGGGUUGUAAAGCUCUUUUACCCGGGAUGAUAAUGACAGUACCGGGAGAAUAAGCUCCGGCUAACUCCGUG
rnacentral:rRNA from 1 species